AUAGUAAUGUUCAGGGCCAGAUGUUGAAUCAGGGCUGGAUGUAAUUGUUUUUAGUGAUAGGACUUUUUCAAACUUAAAGUGGAAGCAAUGUCAGAUGGAUAAAAGUACGAUUAGGCAGUGUCACAUGUCAUAGCUUUCUGUCUCUUUCACGGGCAUGUGCCAUAGUUGUGGUUUCUCAUGCUGGUUCCACCAGCCUGUCAACUCUCAUCUUUUUGUGGCCACUCAGCAGUUUUUAUUUAAACCUUAACCUCAAGUAUUUGACGAAUUUACGUAUUGCGCGUAGUCUCCUGCGCGUAUCCAAUUUAAUAAAACUUCAGUCUUGCGACCUGCGUUUCCCACAUUUGCGUUGCGGCACGUUAGUCGCAAUUUCGAUGGAGUGCCACAUUUGGUCACCAUUUGGAUGACAACUCAUCCAGAUCCAACCACCAUGGAGGCUUCCAGAUGUUUCAGUAUUGUGAGUAAGGAAAUUCAUAAUUUAGACUAAACAUUUUUAAAAACAAAGACUAACUAUUUCUUAAUUCUUUUGACAUUUUGCAGCAGCUGCUGCUGAGCACAUCUGCUUUGAACGUCAUUUGCUGCUGAGCACUGGACAGGAAGAAACUGCAUUGAAUGAAGAAUGCAAUGAAGAAAAUGAAGAAAUAGAAGCACAAGAAUUCGUGGAGGGGAAGAGGGUGGCUGGGUGGUUAUGGAGGCGAACUUGGGUCCGGAAGGUUUUAGGUUCGAAUUCGCAAGCUGCCAAGUUACCACUAAGGUGCUUUGAGGAUGGAACUAUCCCCACACACUGCUCCCAGGCUUGAGCUUGACUUUGGUGUGCUCUCACACUGACAAGAAAAUCACUCUCGUAAGUGAACAAGAACUCAACGCAGGGAAUAAAUGACAGGAGCAGUUGAAAGCAAUGGUUGACUUGGGGCAAGAGGAGCAGACUUGUUAUAUGGACAUCGACAGGACUGGAGCUUUGUACUUAAACUGGUGGUGGUGACUGCUUCUAUUAAGGAUUUGGUGGAAAACAACCAUC